rnacentral:rRNA from 1 species
ACGACUACACUCCUACGGGAGGCAGCAGUGGGGAAUAUUGGACAAUGGGCGCAAGCCUGAUCCAGCCAUGCCGCGUGAGUGAUGAAGGCCUUAGGGUUGUAAAGCUCUUUUAUCCGGGACGAUAAUGACGGUACCGGAGGAAUAAGCCCCGGCUAACUUCGUGCCAGCAGCCGCGGUAAUACGAAGGGGGCUAGCGUUGCUCGGAAUCACUGGGCGUAAAGGGCGCGUAGGCGGCGUUUUAAGUCGGGGGUGAAAGCCUGUGGCUCAACCACAGAAUGGCCUUCGAUACUGGGACGCUUGAGUAUGGUAGAGGUUGGUGGAACUGCGGGUGUAGAGGUGAAAUUCGUAGAUAUUCGCAAGAACACCGGUGGCGAAGGCGGCCAACUGGACCAACACUGACGCUCAUGCACGAAAGCGUGGGGAGCAAACAGGAUUAGAAACCCGAUAGUCCACCAAUCC